rnacentral:tRNA from 1 species
GCCAAAGUGGUGAAACUGGCAAACACGCACGACUCAAAAUCGUGUGCCCCUUAUCCGGGCUUGGGGGUUCAACUCCCCCCUUUGGCA